UACAGAGGUCCCAAGCGUUGUUCGGAUUCACUGGGCGUAAAGGGUGCGUAGGCGGUCGGGUAAGUCUGAUGUGAAAUCUCACAGCUUAACUGUGAAACUGCAUUGGAUACUAUCCGGCUCGAGGAAUGGAGGGGAGACUGGAAUACUUGGUGUAGCAGUGAAAUGCGUAGAUAUCAAGUGGAACACCAGUGGCGAAGGCGGCUCACUGGCUCGUAUCUGACGCUCAGGCGCGAUAGCGUGGGGAUCAAACAGG
rnacentral:rRNA from 1 species